GAAUAUAGCCAGGACGAGCGAGCGAGGGAAGAGUGCAGGCCUGGUCCGGACGUUAGUCUUUCCUUGUUCAACUUCUUUCUCUCCAUGGAGAUCGUUUGUCAUCCAUCCCCCAAUCUCUCUACCGGGAGUUCGCCGAGAUCAGGUGGAGGUUGGUCGGAGAGCGAUCUUCUUGGGGCAGAGACUCUGCCCUAAAGGCUUGAGGCAUUGGAUGCUCUAAAUCACUGUCUAUGCGUGGUCGACCACGAAGGAGAAGGAUGUCACCCUCGAACGGCAGGGCAAUGCUUCCGCUUCAAGCGACGAGAAGAAGGAGUGGAUGCAUUUAGUCGGUAUCGGCGGCAACGGGCCGUCCGCCAUUGGAUCCUUGCUUUGCGGGGAAUGUUGGUUGGUAAUUCCACAGUUUCAACGUCAGAGGCUUGGAUUUGAUAUGGAGUAGCAACAUGUCUACAUUGAAGAAAGCAGGGGCGAGGUUUUGAAUGAUGACAAUGAGGAGAUUUUGCAGGCAGAGGCCUCUGGCACGUAUACCUGUUUCAUAGCAGGUGUGCUUGGUAUGGGAACAUAACAUACCAAGAAAACCUUAUUGCUGUCAACGGCACUCAGGGUAAUUAUGUACUACGGCAGUGGUGUCGCCACAGGUAUAACGGCUGCAUGCUUGCAAUUUUUUUUUAACUGAAGCGAGUGCAAAUCUUACAGCCCUAGUUGGUGGUCUUGUACCUCAGACCAAGUGCAUAUCUAUCUUUUAAAACAUCUGUCAAAGUCAUGGCAUUCUUGAGAGCAUUAAGUAUCCGAAGGGGUGACUUGGCUGAGUUUUAUUGAGUUUUUCAGGAGGUAACGUCUUUUCACAGUAGGGAAAGAAUUCGUUAGUUCAUUCAUUGUUCAAGCAUACCUUCGUCGGCCGCUAAUGUUCAGGAGGCAUCCCUGCUCUGGUUCAAUUUUCAGGAUUUGUUCUCUCUCAAUCUCUCUCUCUCUCAUUCAUAUUGGUUAAAUAUACUUACAAUUUUCUUUUUCUUUCUAGGCAUGACGGCAGCUCCAUGGUUUCAUGAUAUCAACAUGAUUUGAUUGCCAUGACAA